GACGAACGCUGGCGGCGUGCUUAACACAUGCAAGUCGAGCGGUAAGGCCCUUUCGGGGGUACACGAGCGGCGAACGGGUGAGUAACACGUGGGUGACCUGCCCUCAGCUCUGGGAUAAGCCUGGGAAACCGGGUCUAAUACUGGAUAUGACUCCAUGACGCAUGUUGUGGGGUGGAAAGCCUUGUGCGGCUGAGGAUGGGCCCGCGGCCUAUCAGCUUGUUGGUGGGGUGAGGCCUACCAAGGCGACGACGGGUAGCCGGCCUGAGAGGGCGACCGGCCACACUGGGACUGAGACACGGCCCAGACUCCUACGGGAGGCAGCAGUGGGGAAUAUUGGACAAUGGGGGCAACCCUGAUCCAGCAAUGCCGCGUGAGUGAUGAAGGCC
rnacentral:rRNA from 1 species